UACGUAGGGGGCAAGCGUUGUCCGGAAUUAUUGGGCGUAAAGAGCGUGUAGGCGGCCAACUAAGUCAGACGUGAAAUCCCUCGGCUUAACCGGGGAACUGCGUCUGAUACUGGAUGGCUUGAGUUUGGGAGAGGGAUGCGGAAUUCCAGGUGUAGCGGUGAAAUGCGUAGAUAUCAGGAGGAACACCGGUGGCGAAGGCGGGUCUCUGGGCCGAUACUGACGCUGAGGAGCGAAAGCGUGGGGAGCAAACAGG
rnacentral:rRNA from 1 species